AUGCUGACUAAAGGAAAGAGUUCAGUUUAGGGUUUUAAAACCCUAAUGCUGACUAAAGGGAAAGUUCAGUUUAAGGUUUAAAACCCUAAUGCUGACUGAAGGAAAAAGUUCAGUUUAGGGUUUAAAACCCUAAUGCCGACUGAAGGAAAAAGUUCAGUUUAGGGUUUAAAACCCUAAUGCUGACUAAAUGGAAGAAGUUCAGUUUAGGGUUUAAAACCCUAAUGCUGACUGAAGGGAAAAGUCCAGUUUAGGGUUUAAAACCCUAAUGCUGACUGAAGGAAAAAGUUCAGUUUAGGGUUUAAAACCCUAAUGUUGACUAAAUGGAAGAAGUUCAGUUUAGGGUUUAAAACCCUAAUGCUGACUAAAGGGAAGAGUUCACUUUAGGGUUUAAAACCCUAAUGCUGACUGAAGGAAAAGAUCAGUUUAGGGUUUAAAACCCUAAUGCUGACUGGCUGGGGACAAAGUUCGAGGAUACUAACUGACCUAUUUUUUUGAAUUUUCUUAUUUUAGUAGAAGAUAAAAGGGAAUCUCGUGGAAACUUACCUUUCGAGUGGAUUCCUUAU
rnacentral:lncRNA from 1 species